rnacentral:rRNA from 1 species
GACGAAGGACCCAAGCGUUAUCCGGAUUCAUUGGGUUUAAAGGGAGCGUAGGCGGAUUGGUAAGUCAGUGGUGAAAUCUGUGGGCUUAACCCACAAACUGCCAUUGAUACUGCUGAUCUAGUGUACAGUUGCCGUUGGCGGAAUAUGACAUGUAGUGGUGAAAUACUUAGAUAUGUCAUAGAACACCGAUUGCGAAGGCAGCUAACGAAGCUGUAACUGACGCUGAGGCUCGAAAGUGCGGGGAUCAAACAGG